GUGUCAGCAGCCGCGGUAAUACGUAGGCAGCGAGCGUUGUUCGGAAUUACUGGGCGUAAAGAGUGUGUAGGCGGUGCUCUAAGUUCGGUGUGAAAUCUCCUGGCUUAACUGGGAGGGUGCGCCGAAAACUGGAGUGCUCGAGCGUGGGAGAGGAAAGCGGAAUUCCUGGUGUAGCGGUGAAAUGCGUAGAUAUCAGGAGGAACACCUGCGGUGUAGACGGCUUUCUGGACCAUUGCUGACGCUGAGACACGAAAGCGUGGGUAGCAAACAGGAUUAGAUACCCUGGUAGUCC
rnacentral:rRNA from 1 species